ensembl:lncRNA
AUACUGGGUCACAUCUUUGUGAAUCUGCAGGUAAAUGCCUUUCCCAAGUGAAGAUUUUUCUGUUUCCAGAACUUCACUUCAGAGAGCUUUCCAUGCUUGAGUCAUGCAUUAGCUUGUGACAAGUUAUUUUUUAACAACUUUUCUUCCCGGCAGUCACCACCUGUGAUGAAAACACAGAGGAGGAAGUUACAUCCCAGCGGCUAAGAAUAAUAGCAAGCAGUCUUUUGAACUAUUUAGCUGGAGGAAAUGAUGAAAAGUUAUUGAGUCAUCAGAUGUAUUUCCCUCUGUUUUCUCAGGAGAUGUUUUCUACUUCCUGUGAGACAGACCCAGGAAAAUUUGCUGAAGAGCAGGCAAUUGGUGUGAGAUCUUCUGCAAACAUUCUUUCACUGAAGGAAGAAGAGAGCAAACAGCAUGAAGGAAGAGGGACCAAACAGCAGAGAUGGCACAUAGCUUGGGAGUUAGAAGAGGCUGCUGGAUAGGGUAAGCUCCACAUAGGUGAGAACUAUGAGAUGUCUGAUGUAUAUCCAGGAUCAGGGUUUACCUUGAGCCAGACAAUGAAGUUUGUUUUGGACACUUCCCCCUCUCGGUUACCCAAUCCUCCCUAUUACUUUCCUAUCCUCUUGUCUCCUGAUGUCCUCCAGAAAUAGACAUGUCUUCUCUACACAGUGGCCUGACCUCUGUAUUAGGGUCUUCUGGAGACUCAAAAGCCUUUGAGUCUAAAUGAUGUUCAGAUUCAGCGAAAGGGUGGACAUGGGUAAUUUUAAUCGCACGGCAAUCUUUCUAGGAGGACGUUCUGCUCAGGGUAGAUUUCCUGAGUACUUGAGCUUUGUGGGGUUCUAUUUUCAUAUCUUUUUAAAAUAGUAUAAAAUCUGAAGGGUUAGCCAAGCUGUACACAUUCUUAUUGUCAUAUCUUUUUAAAAUAGUACAAAAUCUGAAGGGUUGGCCAAGCUGUACACAUUCUGGGCAACCACAUUUAAUGAAACGAAUACUGAAAUUCUGUAAGCAGGACGUGCUCGCUUGAAGGUCAAUUCGUCACAUCUAACUGCAGAGGACAGCAGUUGUAAACUUAAGGUUUGGGGUUCAUAUCUGGGCUCAACAAAUACCUAGAUCUGUGCAUUUAGACACCUUAACUCUCUGUACCUUAGUUUACUUUUUUUAUGGUGAAAAAGACUAUCUUUUGCAUUUUCUGAUAGUAGUUAAAUCAGAAAAUGCUUAAGCAGCUCGGAGCACAGAGAUUGGGACAGAGCCCUCACUCAACGUUAGCUGUUAUUCUAUUGAUACUAUUGUUAUUACUACCCUAUGUUUUAGGAUUUGCAUUGUACAUAUAGUGAAAGUCCCAACCUAAUUCUAAAGUGGGAUUUCAAUGUGUUUGGACAUGAACUAGCCAGGCUGCUGCCAGGAGUCAGAGUCGACUUGAAUGAGAGUUUUCAGUGAAAUGAGAAUGGGAGGAUACUGCGUGCCGACAGAAUGAGGGGAGGA